rnacentral:rRNA from 1 species
ACUGGUUGAUUCUGCCAGUAGUCAUAUGUUUGUCUUAAAGAUUAAGCCAUACAUGUUUAAGUUCAUACCUUUGAAUGGUGAAACCGCGAAUGGCUCAUUAAAUCAGUUAUAAUUUCAUGGAAUGUGUUUUGUUAAUUGGAUAACUGUGGUAAUUCUAGAGCUAAUACAUGCAUAUACGUUCAACUUCUGUUGGAUGUGCUUUUAUUAGUGCAAACCAUGUCGUAAGACUAUAGAUGGUGACUCUGAAUAACUUUGCCGAGCAUUUCGGCCUUGUGUCAGUGCUAUUCCUUCAAAGUAUCUGCUCUAUCAAGUGUCGAUGGUAUAUUAUAUGUUUACCAUGGUUGUAACGGGUAACGGGGAAUUAGGAUUCGAUUCCGGAGGGGGAGCCUGAGAAACGGCUACCAGAUCUAAGGAAGGCAGCAGACGCGCAAAUUACCUAAUCCCGGCUCGGGGAGGUAGUGAAAAAAAAUAACAAUGCGGGUCUUAAAUGAGGCUUCGUAAUUGGAAUGAGUACAUUCUAAAUCCUUUAACGAGGAACUAUUGGAGACCAAAUUUGGUACCAGCAGCCGCGGUCAUUCCAGCUCCAAUAGCGUAUAUUAAAAUGUUGCGUCUAAAAAGCUCGUAGUUUGAAAACUUGCCUUGACUUGCAAUAGGUUCACAUGGGCCACCGUUUGUCGAGCGCAAAUAUGGAUGACUGUUUUUGCCGGCUUAAUUGUUUGGCUUAUAAGAGUUAUCAAGUGCACCGUCAUCGCGGUGUGGUAUAGCAUAGAAGAGUGUAGUAUACAAGCUCUUAGCUAGUAUAUUGACCAAGCGACUGGAGGCGUUUCUCGAGGGCGUGAAUGACUU